GAUGAACGCUGGCGGCGUGCCUAAUACAUGCAAGUCGAGCGAACAGACGAGGAGCUUGCUCCUCUGACGUUAGCGGCGGACGGGUGAGUAACACGUGGAUAACCUACCUAUAAGACUGGGAUAACUUCGGGAAACCGGAGCUAAUACCGGAUAAUAUAUUGAACCGCAUGGUUCAAUAGUGAAAGACGGUUUUGCUGUCACUUAUAGAUGGAUCCGCGCCGCAUUAGCUAGUUGGUAAGGUAACGGCUUACCAAGGCAACGAUGCGUAGCCGACCUGAGAGGGUGAUCGGCCACCCUGGAACUGGGACACGGUCCAGACUCCUACGGGAGGCAGCAGUAGGGAAUCUUCCGCAAUGGGCGAAAGCCUUACGGAGCAACGCCGCGUGAGUGAUGAAGGUCUUCGGAUCGUAAAACUCUGUUAUUAGGGAAGAACAAAUGUGUAAGUAACUAUGCACGUCUUGACGGUACCUAAUCAGAAAGCCACGGCUAACUACGUG
rnacentral:rRNA from 1 species